rnacentral:tRNA from 4 species
GUACAGGUAAUGCAAAUUGGUAAAGCUACGUGCCUUAGAAGCAUGUGAUUCUGUGGGUUCGACUCCCACCCUGUAUA